rnacentral:rRNA from 1 species
GAAUUUUGGACAAUGGGGGAAACCCUGAUCCAGCCAUCCCGCGUGUGCGAUGAAGGCCUUCGGGUUGUAAAGCACUUUUGGCAGGGAAGAAAAGGCGCCGGAUAACACCUGGCGCCGCCGACGGUACCUGCAGAAUAAGCACCGCCUAACUACGUGCCAGCAGCCGCGGUAAUACGGAGGGUGCAACCGUUAAUCGGAAUUACUGGGCGUAAAGCGUGCGCAGGCGGUUCGGAAAGAAAGAUGUGAAAUCCCAGGGCUUAACCUUGGAACUGCAUUUUGAACUGCCGGGCUAGAGUAUGUCAGAGGGGGGUAGAAUUCCACGUGUAGCAGUGAAAUGCGUAGAGAUGUGGAGGAAUACCGAUGGCGAAGGCAGCCCCCUGGGAUAAUACUGACGCUCAUGCACGAAAGCGUGGGGAGCAAACAG